rnacentral:rRNA from 1 species
AUUGAACGCUGGCGGCAUGCCUAACACAUGCAAGUCGAACGAGUGGCGGACGGGUGAGUAAUGUCUGGGAAACUGCCUGAUGGAGGGGGCUAACUACUGGAAACGGUAGCUAAUACCGCAUACCAUCAGAUGUUCCCAGAUGGGAUUAGCUAGUGGGUGGGGUAAAGGCUCACCUAGGCGACGAUCCCUACCUGGUCUGAGAGGAUGACCAGCCACACUGGAACGGAGACACGGUCCAGACUCCUACGGGAGGCAGCAGUGGGGAAUAUUGCACAAUGGGCGCAAGCAUGAUGGAGCCAUGCCGCGUGUAUGAAGAAGGCCUGCGGGUUGUAAAGUACUUGCAGCGGGGAGGCGGUACCCGCAGAAGAAGCACCGGCUAACUCCGUGCCAGCAGCCGCGGUAAUAC